GAUGAACGCUGGCGGCGUGCCUAACACAUGCAAGUCGAACGAAGCACUUCUGGUUGGAGAUUCGUCAAAGACUGGAUUUGACUUAGUGGCGGACGGGUGAGUAACGCGUGAGCAACCUGCCUUUCAGAGGGGGACAACAGUUGGAAACGACUGCUAAUACCGCAUAAAGUACAGAGGAGGCAUCUUUUUGUACCAAAGGAGCAAUCCGCUGAAAGAUGGGCUCACGUCUGAUUAGCUAGUUGGUGAGGUAACGGCUCACCAAGGCUGCGAUCAGUAGCCGGACUGAGAGGUUGAACGGCCACAUUGGGACUGAGAUACGGCCCAGACUCC
rnacentral:rRNA from 1 species